UGUGUGUUAGUGGAAGCGUCUGGAAAGGCGUGCGAUACAGGGUGACAGCCCCGUACACAAAAAUGCACAUGCUGUGAGCUCGAUGAGUAGGGCGGGACACGUGGUAUCCUGUCUGAAUAUGGGGGGACCAUCCUCCAAGGCUAAAUACUCCUGACUGACCGAUAGUGAACCAGUACCGUGAGGGAAAGGCGAAAAGAACCCCGGCGAGGGGAGUGAAAAAGAACCUGAAACCGUGUACGUACAAGCAGUGGGAGCCUCUUUAUGGGGUGACUGCGUACCUUUUGUAUAAUGGGUCAGCGACUUAUAUUCUGUAGCAAGGUUAACCGAAUAGGGGAGCCGAAGGGAAACCGAGUCUUAACUGGGCGUUAAGUUGCAGGGUAUAGACCCGAAACCCGGUGAUCUAGCCAUGGGCAGGUUGAAGGUUGGGUAACACUAACUGGAGGACCGAACCGACUAAUGUUGAAAAAUUAGCGGAUGACUUGUGGCUGGGGGUGAAAGGCCAAUCAAACCGGGAGAUAGCUGGUUCUCCCCGAAAGCUAUUUAGGUAGCGCCUCGUGAAUUCAUCUCCGGGGGUAGAGCACUGUUUCGGCAAGGGGGUCAUCCCGACUUACCAACCCGAUGCAAACUGCGAAUACCGGAGAAUGUUAUCACGGGAGACACACGGCGGGUGCUAACGUCCGUCGUGAAGAGGGAAACAACCCAGACCGCCAGCUAAGGUCCCAAAGUCAUGGUUAAGUGGGAAACGAUGUGGGAAGGCCCAGACAGCCAGGAUGUUGGCUUAGAAGCAGCCAUCAUUUAAAGAAAGCGUAAUAGCUCACUGGUCGAGUCGGCCUGCGCGGAAGAUGUAACGGGGCUAAACCAUGCACCGAAGCUGCGGCAGCGACACUAUGUGUUGUUGGGUAGGGGAGCG
rnacentral:rRNA from 2 species